UCUUCUGGGUCUGCUUUUAUUUUGUUUUUAUCAGCUGUUGGGAAAUAAUUAGAUGGGGGUUUGGGAUUUUGGCAGAGGGGGGAUGGGUCAAGGAGAUAGGGCGAGUUAACUAGGUGCGAAGGAGUGGAUGCUUUGAGAUGCAGAGUUUCUUUGUUCAUUGUAUUAUAAGCACCUCAAAACUGAAUAGACCACAACUACUGGAUGGUUAGACAACCGUGGAAGUCAAUAACAUUACAGAUAUUAAUAGCAUCAUAAAACAUCAUUUCAAGACCCACCCUUCAGGUAUUGCAAUAUUGGAAGAAGAAAAAGGCCAAUGGCUUUCUGAAUCCAUUGCCUCAACUCCAAACAUGCAUCAAGUUGAAGAGUUUUGAAGAUCUUCUAUCAACUACAGUAAACUCUGUGAGUUGAUUAUUUGAAUUCUACAUAGAGCAGGUAAUUCACCAUAAGAAUUCUGAUAGCAGUUAUUUUUCUUGGUGGUAAUCUACCUAAAACAAAUUUGCGAAAGGAAGGUGUAUUUGCUAUAUGAUAGUAACAAGUUCGAUAUACAGCUGCAUUAAUGUUGCUAGGUUGUAAGACAAAAUUUUGACAACUAAAUAACAUGAAGAGUUAUCUGAAAAAUUAUAAUGCACUGAAUUGGUUUUCAAUUAUUCUCCUCCAAUAAUGUUAAGUGCAUUAAAUGCAUAUGAAUCAUUAUAGAAAUUUUAUUGUUUAGUUUCAAUUCAAAGCUGUGU